CCUGUGAAGGAAACUCUGAGACUUUUGCACUGCUUAAGACUUUUUGUUGGAAACAAAACUUGUUGGCGAACAGAACUACACGAGAUCCGGACUACGAGAGACCUGAGACCCCGAGGAAGGCCCUCCGAUGACCGAGAACCGAGGACGAGCCCCUGCUGAAGCGACCGGGCUGUGAUUUGGACUAUAAGUUUCUGACUUCCUCUUCCGCGGACCUCCGAGAAGCCGGAGAAUGGAGGACCACCCGUACGCGCUGCGGGGAGCUGGCGACUUCGUUGGAGCUCCACCGCCGCCGCCGCCGCCC